AUGUAUAUAUAGGUGAUCGGGUGUGCGGUUUGCGAUAAGGUGGACUUCAAUGAUCUGGUUUCUUGCACUUCACUUGGUGGUAUUAAUAAUAGAAUGCUGUUCUUAGGGUUUGUAAUCCACCUUAUCGCAAACCGCACACCCGAUCACCUAUA